CCCUUAGAUGUUCUGGGCCGCACGCGUGCUACACUGAACGGUUCAAUGGGUAAGGUAGUGCGAAAGCAUGACCUAAUCUCGAAAUCCGUUCGUGCUGGGGAUAGAAGCUUGCAAUUAUCCUUCUUGAACGAGGAAUACCUUGUAAGCGUGAGUCAUCAUCUCACGCUGAAUACAUCCCUGCCCUUUGUACACACCGCCCGUCGCUCCUACCGAUUGAGUGUUCCGGUGAGGCUUUGGGAGAAUGGCCUCAACAUGAGUUUAUCGUGUUUUGCCGUUUGAACUUAGUCAAACCUUAUCACUUAGAGGAAGGAGAAGUCGUAACA
rnacentral:rRNA from 1 species